rnacentral:rRNA from 1 species
UGACGGUACCUGACUAAGAAGCCCCGGCUAACUACGUGCCAGCAGCCGCGGUAAUACGUAGGGGGCAAGCGUUAUCCGGAUUUACUGGGUGUAAAGGGAGCGUAGACGGUCUGGCAAGUCUGAUGUGAAAGGCAGGGGCUCAACUCCUGGACUGCAUUGGAAACUGUCAGUCUUGAGUGCCGGAGAGGUAAGCGGAAUUCCUAGUGUAGCGGUGAAAUGCGUAGAUAUUAGGAGGAACACCAGUGGCGAAGGCGGCUUACUGGACGGUAACUGACGUUGAGGCUCGAAAGCGUGGGGAGCAAACAGGAUUAGAUACCCUG